GGUGCGGCCACGGCUCGCACGAGAUGCAGCUCCUGCUCGUGGAGUUAAAGGCCGGUGUUGGGGUCCUCAGCGGCGAGGAGGACGACACGUCGUGUGUACGCAGUGUUCCUCCCGCUCAUGGAGUGAGCGUUUUGGGCCAGCCUCGAGGGUGGCCGUCCGGACGGCGACGAGCUUCGGCUCUGCAUCCAGAGCUGCAACGCCGGCAGGCACGCCACUUCUUUGCCCCUCUCAGUCGCCGGUGCUUUUGUUCUGUGUAUGGCGAUGGGGUUGCUUCCUCUGCUCCGUUCAUGUCGUUGAGGUUUUGUGAUGUUUGCCUGUUUCUCGCUCUCGAGUAGGUCCCUGCGUCAAUCUUGCCUUCGGCAUUGAGAUAUUGCAAGGCGCAUCAUUGGACUGAUGUACCAGAAAGGGUAGUGCCACUGGAGAUAAUAAUUUCAGAUCACCUUCUACUUCUUGAUGGAAGUCAUUAUCAGAAUGUAGUUGUUAAAAGGGAGAACGAAGUAUUAAUAUUGCAGAUUAAUCCAUCACAAGCAAACACAAUAGGAGACAAGGCAUCAUGAAGCAACCAUAGCAGGCUAUGACAAUUGGUUGUAAUAAAUAAAUGGAGAAUACCCACUGCCAGAAGUUUUUGCGCUAAAUAUACACUGCUGCAUUUGUUGUCCAUUUUGCCACCGUGAGCUUCAGGUAACUACUUCAUGUGCAAAUAUGCCAAUGGGUAACAUCCUCAGGAUUAACAAGUUCCUGUGUGCUGCUGCUCUUACUAUUGAUGGCUUUUUCCUGUGGAGUACCAAGAAAAAUAGCAGAUCACCCCUGUAGUAGAAGCCAUACAAGCACCAUGUAAAAUGGUUUUGAAUCGGAAUUGAAGCCAUCUGUUGGAAGUAACAUCUGUAGGGACUGAACCUGUAUGCCACUCCCAGUAAUAUAGAGUGAAGGCAAUAACGACAGUGUUUGUUGUUGGUUUAUAAUCGUGCAGGUAACUGGCCAAGCUACUUGGCUCACUUUCGUUGCCUUUUGCGGGUCCUUCUGUGGGAUGUUGUUGUCAUUUUGGGACUUAAUGCUCGGUGGAGGGUCAGAGGCAUUUCCUGCACGGGAAGAGGGGCAUCUGUGGGGGUAUUGGCCAAAAGUAGGCAAGGUAAAAACACAAGGCGAGUGAAGUGAGCUGGGCAAAACUGCAAUUAUUGAAAAAAUAGGGGCAAA